rnacentral:rRNA from 1 species
AUUGAACGCUGGCGGCAGGCCUAACACAUGCAAGUCGAACGGUAACAGGAAGAAGCUUGCUUCUUUGCUGACGAGUGGCGGACGGGUGAGUAAUGUCUGGGAAACUGCCUGAUGGAGGGGGAUAACUACUGGAAACGGUAGCUAAUACCGCAUAACGUCGCAAGACCAAAGAGGGGGACCUUCGGGCCUCUUGCCAUCGGAUGUGCCCAGAUGGGAUUAGCUAGUAGGUGGGGUAACGGCUCACCUAGGCGACGAUCCCUAGCUGGUCUGAGAGGAUGACCAGCCACCCUGGAACUGAGACACGGUCCAGACUCCUACGGGAGGCAGCAGUGGGGAAUAUUGCACAAUGGGCGCAAGCCUGAUGCAGCCAUGCCGCGUGUAUGAAGAAGGCCUUCGGGUUGUAAAGUACUUUCAGCGGGGAGGAAGGGAGUAAAGUUAAUACCUUUGCUCAUUGACGUUACCCGCAGAAGAAGCACCGGCUAACUCCGU